AGUAGAAAAACGUGUUUUAUGUCGUGAACAAAUACUUUUCAUAAAAAUGGCGUUUUAUACUGUACCAAGAAGCUACUAAGAUCUUACUUAUAUUCAAUGCUUCAAUUUUUAGUGUUUAGAAUCUAACCUCACUUUCAAGCUCAAUUGUUUUAUAAGCUUUCGGAAUCUUCUAAGAUUGUUGUUGUAUAAAGGAACUGUUUUUACAACGAAACUCAGAAAAUUAUAUAAUAAUAUAUUAUAACAAGUUAAUGAUGUCUCACGCCAUUGUUAGUGAUUGUAAUGAAGAUAAUAUGAAAAAAGCGAACAACUUAUUUGCGUCUUUAAAUGUUAAUCAAAGCGAAAAUAAUGAUUCGCUUAAAAUGAGCAUAUUGUCUUAUAUUAAAGCUGUAGAUAAAAAGAAUGAAUCGGUGUUAAGUAGCAGGGCUCACCAACAUAAACAGGAAUAUGAUUUAAAUAAAAUUGUAAGCAUAACGACAGACGAUAGUGUUCAUUAUGUUAAACGUAAACGCAAAUCUUUAAUAUGUCAAGAAAAGAUUGUAGAUAAUUCUACUGAAAAUGUCGAGAAACCAAGUUUAGACUUUACUGAUGAUUUACCCCAAAAGAAACAACCAAGGAUAUCUACAGAAUCGGAAAAGCAUAUAGAACUAAAUAAUCUAAUGACAUCUGAUGAUAUCAAAGCUAUAGACAACCUUUUGGAGUGUUUAAAAACAUAUGGAAAUGUAGCCGAACUGGAAGAAGAUGUAGUCGAUCCUGCAGAAGUGACGCAAACAUCAUUGUCGACUUCAAUCAAUCACCCAACAGAAAUGACCGAAAAUGUUAUAGAGGAGUGUGUUGAGCCGAUCGGGAUAAAACCUCCACAGCAAUGUAAAGCAAAACGUAUAAUGCAUCCAAAUGAGUAUAAGAAAGCCAAUUCAGUGGUUGUUAACGAACUACGACAAAGUAAUGAAAUUAUCGGAAAAGUUAUAAAUAUGCCUAUAGCGCCGUUCACGAUACAAAUUCCACCGCAAUGUAACGUACGCAUUAGAAUAAAACACAACAAAUAUUACAAAGACAUUUUACCGGUUGUUAACGUAUACAGCAAAUCUAAGCAUAUAAAAGUAAUAAGCCUGCCUCACAAAUUAAAAUCGAUUUAUAAUGAGAACGAGAUAAAUGCUAGCAGUUUUCCAAAUAAAUCGUCCUUAGGGGUUUCAUAUGCACUUAAUGAUGUUUUAAUAAAUCCAUAAAUAAAUUGCUCUACAACUAACUUUAUUAAAAGUUCAGCCGGGUAACAGUUGGCACUCAGUGAGAGCGCCUGCCGACAGAGGUCGUUUGUUUUCAAGAAAACCUGGACCCAAGCGGCCGAAGGCGCCCAAGUCCAGCAGCGACCAUGUGUGCGCAUUGCAUAGAUUUAAGAUGGUCAAUCAUUGUGUAGCUAAAAUGAGACGAUGGGCGAUAGCGUUGAUAGUAAAUGUUUUGUCUGAUAUUGAAUGGAACAUCCUUCAGUAGAUCUAUAAAAUUAAUUUCAAAAAAAUUCUCAUUACAUGUUAAUGUUGAAUUAUCAUACCAACAAUCUACAUAACUUUGUAUAUUAUUUCCACAUAUGCUGCUGAGAUAUUUCAAAGAUAUUCGUGAUAUGUAGUUAGGAAUCAGUCUUUUAUGGCUGUGACAUGAAUAGGUACGCAAGUGUUCUACCACGAAUAAUUGCUUGAGAGAGCUUGAAUAAUUCUUUGUGGAAUGCAUGUGUACGUGCAACCUGUAUAUUUUGGGAUGUGCUGUUUUACACUUUGUUUUGUUUAAAACUCCCCAAGUGUACCUUUCUUAUAACUCUGCUUUUAUUUUCUGUUUACUGGAUAUUAUUUAAUUGUUUACACAAUUAUUUUGUCCAAGUUUCUUUGUCAUUUAUUGUUCUCAGUAUAAGUAUAAUUUUAAGAUUAUAAGGCAAUAAAUACGAGUUAUCUUUUUAUAUUUAUAUUUUAUAUGUUUUUAUUUAUACUUGAGGUAAGUUUCAAUAAUAUUUCAAAUAGAAACAAUACUUCUUUUAUAAAUUAUUUAACGUUUUCCAAUAAACUGUAAAAAAUAUGGUGCUGCUUCGUUCAUAUGAUAACUCCUCUUCCAGUGCUGUGAAAGGAAAAAUAUGUAUUUUAAUCACUAAUGUUGUGAUUCUAACCUGAACUAAAACCUUUAAUAAAAGCGAAAGAAACAAGAAUGACGGUUUGUUAAAAAUUAAAAUGUGCUUAAACGUCUUUUUUUUUUCACUUUUAUAGGCUAAAAACAUAAUAAAUUUUAACGGAUUGAAAUAAUUGUAGUUCCGCCUAUAGAGAAUCUAUUUACGAAUGAAAUAAAUUCCUGGCCAAAUAA